rnacentral:lncRNA from 1 species
GCUAACCCUAGUGCCACGGUCGCCGGUCCACGGCGUCGCCAUCAACGCCGGCGCUGUGCCUGCACCUCCGGUUGGUCCUCCCCGACCCCGCCCAAACUUUCGCGCACUGCAUCGCCUCCUGGUCGCUGUCCAGGCGUCGCCAUCGACUGGAGGAGCGCGGGACCGUCGUCCUCGCGUUCGUGCACCUCCAGAAAGAAGACUGCUCGAGGUGAGACGCCUCGGAUCCGUCGUGCGAAGGUGGAGGUGAGUGCCCUCUCCACUUCCACCAUUUCCCCCCUCUCUCUCUGUUUUGAUCCCUUUUUUUCUGCAGCUUGACAUAUAGGUUAGUGUAUGUGUGUGUGCAGCAGCUCCAGAGGGACGAACGUCAAGGUAGCCACUGCUCCGUAGGUAUGAAUCGGUUCCCUAGCCUCUUAUGAGCCCUACUUUUCAACGAGCAAGGUUGGCUGCUAAGUUUAUGUUAUUUGAUGCCUCUGGUUCUUUCAUGUAUGUAAGAGAUACUAUUUAGUUGUCUGCAUUUAUCUUAUUCGGUUCAGUUUGGUGUGCUUAUCAAUGGGUUGAUUCAAGAUAAUUUGUGAUUCUGCUAUCUAAUUGAUUGGUAUAUAUAUGUUUUUUUUAAUAUGAAUCACUUUAUGCAGAAGAUCUGAGUUC